rnacentral:lncRNA from 1 species
UGGGGAAGCAUCAGGAUGGAGUGGCUGAUCCUUGGGGCUGGCCAGCACCUGGUCCAUCCAUCAUGUUGGGUGAGCUGUCAGCAGGAUCAGUAUUUUUAAGGAGAAAUGGCCCACCUGUGGGAAAACAUACAGCACUGGUGUUGCAGGAAGCCUUGCAGAGAUCAGAAACGCUUUGAGCCUCUUUUGAGACAAGGAAGAUGUAAAAAGACAGAUGUUGCUCUUCUUCCAAGGAAUCUUUCCAGGCUUAUAUUCUGCCUACCUCUUCCAGGAGCAUCUUUUUCCAGCUGAUUUCUCACUAUGACGGUGUCUUGGCAUACCAAGCCUGGAGAACCAGAAAGCAUAGGUAUGUUUUAACAAUAUUAAAAAAAAAAAAAAAAAAAACAACAGUUAAGAGACAUUUUACUGCUACAAUGGAGCACUCCUUAUAAAAUUCUUAAAACCCUGGCCGGUUUGUGGAGCAGCAGAAAUAAAA